UACGGGGGGAGCAAGCGUUGUUCGGAUUUACUGGGCGUAAAGGGCGCGUAGGCGGCCACCGCAAGUCGGUUGUGAAAUCUCUGGGCUUAACCCAGAAAGGUCAACCGAUACUGCGGGGCUAGAGUGCAGAAGGGGCAACUGGAAUUCUCGGUGUAGCGGUGAAAUGCGUAGAUAUCAAGAGGAACACCUGCGGCGAAGGCGGGUUGCUGGGCUGACACUGACGCUGAUGCGCGAAAGCUAGGGGAGCGAACGGG
rnacentral:rRNA from 1 species